rnacentral:tRNA from 1 species
UUGUUAGUAGCACAGUGGGUAGUGCACAGCCCCGGAUAGGUUGAGACGCGGGUUCAAAUCCCGCCUGAGAUG